AGGCCAAUAGCUCUAAUUGGUAGAGCACCUGACUCCAAAUUAGGUGGUUGGGGGUUCGAAUCCCUCUUGGCCUG
rnacentral:tRNA from 2 species